UGCAAAAGCAGUUGCUAGGUCAGCAAACAGAGCUCUAGGCAUGGUUAUAGCUAAGUGUAAAGCUAUUGGUGGCAUUUCAUAUGACGUCUAUAAAAAACUAUUUGAUUCACUUGUAAGUCCUAUUGUUGAAUAUGGUGCCGCGAUUUGGGGCUGCAAGAAUUUCUCAUUUAUUAAUGCGAUUCAGAUGAGAGCUUGUAGGUUCUUCCUUGGUGUUGGUAAAUAUACACCUAAUCCAGCUAUUAUGGGAGACAUGGGAUGGAUUCCAAUUUACCAUACUCAAUGGAAAGUAAUUGCAAGACACUGGCACAGAUUAGUAAAUAUGGAGCCAGAUCGUAUUAACAGGAAAAUAUUUUCAUAUGGGCAGAUGAGGUCAGUCUGAAACAUAGAAUUGUAAAAAAUUGGAAUUUCAUUGUAUAAAAAACAUUUCACGGAACUUGAAUUGGUUGACUUUUGUAAUACAAACACUAAUAUUAAUAAAAUAUGUUUAUUGAUACAGUCAUGUCAAGAAUGUUUGAUAAUUAUAUUGAAGAAUGGAAAAGUAUUGUUAGUUCAUCCUCUUCCAGACGGGGAAAUGGGCG
rnacentral:lncRNA from 1 species